rnacentral:rRNA from 1 species
GACAGAGGGUGCGAACGUUGCUCGGAAUUACUGGGCGUAAAGCGCGUGUAGGCGGGUCAUCAAGUCAGGUGUGAAAUCCCUGGGCUCAACCCAGGAACUGCAUCUGAAACUGGUGGUCUUGAGUGUCGGAGAGGGAAGCGGAAUUCUCGGUGUAGAGGUGAAAUUCGUAGAUAUCGGGAGGAACACCGGUGGCGAAGGCGGCUUCCUGGACGACUACUGACGCUGAGACGCGAAAGCGUGGGGAGCAAACAGG